rnacentral:rRNA from 1 species
AUACGGAGGGUGCAAGCGUUAAUCGGAAUCACUGGGCGUAAAGCGCGCGCAGGCGGCUAUUUAAGUUGGAUGUGAAAGCCUAUGGCUCAACCAUAGAACUGCAUCCAAAACUAUUUAGCUAGAGUGUGGGAGAGGAAGAUGGAAUUAGUUGUGUAGGGGUAAAAUCCGUAGAGAUAACUAGGAAUACCAAAAGCGAAGGCAAUCUUCUGGAACACUACUGACGCUGAGGUGCGAAAGCGUGGGGAGCAAACAGGAUUAGAAACCCUAGUAGUCC